rnacentral:rRNA from 1 species
GAUGAACGCUGGCGGCGUGCUUAACACAUGCAAGUCGAACGAGGUCCAUGGAGCUUGCUCCGGAAGACCUAGUGGCGAACGGGUGCGUAACACGUGAGAAACCUGCCCCGAUCUCUGGGAUAACAGUUGGAAACGACUGCUAAUACCGGAUGCCGUCACACCGCUUCAUGGCGGAGUGCCGAAAGAUUCAUCGGAUCGGGCGGGUCUCGCGGCCUAUCAGCUAGUUGGAGAGGUAACGGCUCACCAAGGCAUCGACGGGUAGCUGGUCUGAGGGGAUGAUCAGCCACACUGGGACUGAGACACGGCCCAGACUCCUACGGGAGGCAGCAGUGGGGAAUCUUGCACAAUGGGCGAAAGCCUGAUGCAGCAACGCCGCGUGCGGGAAGAAGGCCCUAGGGUUGUAAACCGCUUUCAGUAGGGAAGAAAAUGACGGUACCUACAGAAGAAGGUGCGGCCAACUACGUGCCAGCCGCCGCAGUAAAAC